UUAUAAGAUCCCUCAAAGAUGAUGAGGUUAAUAGGUUCGAGGUGGAAGCGUGGUGACACGUGGAGCUGACGAAUACUAAUCGAUCGAAGACUUAAUCAAA
rnacentral:rRNA from 1 species